rnacentral:rRNA from 1 species
GACAGAGGGGGCAAGCGUUGCUCGGAAUUACUGGGCGUAAAGGGCGCGUAGGCGGGAUGGCAAGUCGGUCGUGAAAUCCCUCGGCUCAACUGAGGAUCGUCGAUCGAUACUGCCGUUCUUGAGGAUUGCAGAGGAGACUGGAAUUCCCGGUGUAGCGGUGAAAUGUGUAGAGAUCGGGAGGAACACCGGUGGCGAAGGCGGGUCUCUGGGCAAUUCCUGACGCUGAGGCGCGAAAGCAUGGGGAGCAAACGGG